AUCAAAUUAAGAUUUUUAUUUAUUUUAAUCUUUGAAUAUUAUGUAAGAUAUAAGAUUUUGAAGGAGGAAAUAAGCAUUUAUAUGAAAAAGAUUUCUCUUCGUUCCAUUUAUAUGUAUAUCACAUUUCAGCAAGACACAACAAAUAUUUCUCGGCAUAUAUUCACAGUUUUUAAUGUUAAUUAACAGCUUAUUUUUGAAUAUAUGUUAAGUCGCGAAAAUUGAUUAUUUAAUAAAAACUUUAGAUAAAAUGUUAUUAUUUUUCAUAGAAUGCAAUCAUUCUGUGUUGGGCCGCAUGCUGAUAUCUGAAUUAAAGUUCGCAGCACUGGUUACUUGACUCAAAAUUCAAUGUUGCCGCUUUUAGCAGUUUUCCCUUGUUUCCGAAUCUGGAAGUUGGUGCAAAACGAAUAUUUAUUGUUUGCCUUGUAAUCUGGCAUUCGCCGCUGUUCUCCUCGUUCGUUCGGUUUUCAUAGCUCUAAGCAGAAGAGAGUUUAUAUGUGAGGUGGUGUAUUAUUUAGCAAAUAAAAAUUGGCUAUUACAAAUAAAAAAAUAUCGACAAAGUGAAGUGUAGGUGUGAUAAUAAAAAUUACAACGUAGUUUGGUGCUUGUGCAACAUAUGUACAUAAAUUUUAAGAGUGGAUAUUACCUGGUUUCCUGAGUCAUUAAACCCAUAAGAUAUAUCUUUAUGAAAGCAUGGAAAGAAAGUCAAUGAAAUCAAUGAAGUGCAAUAAAUGGGCAAAUCCACUGUAUAAAAAAUAAAUAUAUAUCGCUACAGCUACAAGUAUUUAUUGGCAUAUGCGUAUGUUUUCAUCUGUGCAAAUAUAAAUUUGAAAGCGAAUAUGUAGCGAUUGCAGCGAUCCACGCCCGUGCCUUGAAUCAUAGUUUUUAUUUACAUGCAUUUUGUUUGACUUGCAUACAUACUGACAACUUUUUCUAAGAGAGUUACAUCUAAUUUUAGCAUCAAGAAAUUUAGGCAGAGCAAAAACAACUAUACGCAAUACUAAAAAACUAACAAAGUUAUUUAUAUGUUUACAUAUGUAGCGUAAUACGCGACCUUUACGUAUUAUAAGUACGAAAUACUUUAAAUCGAUCAUUAAAAAGUGUAAUUUUAUGAGAAACCUCAUAAGUGAGCUGUACUAAUUCAAAUAACAAAUAUGCAUUGCGACAAUACGAAAACAUCGUCAGAAAUCGAACAUGUGGAUUGGAGUACUGGCACCGGCUCUGGUCACCACUACGCUAACGUCAGGUGAGUUGGAAAUUAAUAAGUUGUAAUAUAAUAAACACAUUCUAGUCGAACACUCUAUUACAACUGGUUCUAAGUGAAGGGAAACAUUUUCAUUGCUCCAACUUUAAUUAAAAAUAUGUGCUGCAUCAAUAACUGGAAAAUUUAAUUUUUUUGUCCUUUGAUAUAUUAUCGGUAGAGUUACUUUACUUGUUUUCCUUGCUGCACUUCGCGGAGGUUAUUCCUACUGAUACCGAUUUUUUAUUAUUAAAUGAAUCUGUAUUUUCCCAAGACAAAGUGUCACUUGUUUCAAAUAUGGAAAUUAAU
rnacentral:lncRNA from 1 species